ACAGCCUCCCUGACUCAGACGAACUUCAAACAGAAAUUUGUGGCUCUGCUGAAAAGAUUCAAAGUCACUGAUGAGGUUCUGGACUCAGACCCGGUGUGUCGGGACCAGGAGGCCGAGGAGGACCUGGACCUUCUGUACGACAGUCUGGAGUUCUACAACCCGAGUGACAGCGGCCCGGAGCUGGACGACAACGACAGCAUCAUCAGCACGCCCAAACCCAAGCUCA